AGCUGCGGGAAGGAAGGGGAGGGAGAGGCAGCAGCUCCAUAUUAAUGGGUUCCUUAAAGAGCAGCCUGGCACAGGUGGGAAAGUGUCAGUACAUCUAAUUGUUGCUCAUAGGUAAACAGCUCCAGAUCUCUGAUGAACCUUUCUACCCUUUCCUGAAACUCUUCUAUUCCAAGACCAACUUUUUGAGAUGAUAGCACUGAUGUGCAAGCAAGCCACAAGUUCUACAAUGGGUUGUAGCUGUCAGAGUUAUGUAAUAAAGCUUAAUUUAAUCGCAUUGAAGAAGAACAAGGCUAUGAACUCCACCAAUUACCAGGUAAAGGACUCAGCAAUUGUAUGCUCCAUUAUAUGUUUGAGCCGGUCCAUAAUACCCCAACUUAGCACUUCCUCAUCUCACUGCAUUUCCCCUCAUUAAUAGCCAGCAACACAAUGAAGCUUCUUCCUCUUCUUGCAGCUAGAUAUGACCAAAUAUUAGCUUUAUGUCUUCCAUGGAGCUGUUAUUGAGGACCACCCAGCCAAGGUUGAACACUAAUGACAACCCACUACCUGAUAAGACUCUGAGCAAAGUGAUCUCCAUUGGCACGGAGGUGGCAUUCAUUCCAGCUGACUUUCCCACCUCCAAAGAAGGCUGCAGCUCUGUGAGAGGAACAAACAUACCAUACAAGGGAAGCAGGCUCUGCCAAGUGCUGCAGAAAUGGGACACAGAUGGUAUCUUAAAUGAGAACGGAAGUUUAUUUGGGGGCUCUGCACAUGACGUAGCACUGCAGCUCUUGCAGCUCUUGCAACAGAUGACAGACUAGGAUUUCAGAGCUGGUGAUGAGAUAAUUUUGAAGCAGUCUCUCUCCACAGAGCUAUUAGAUUGUAUAAAAUAAAUUAAAAUCAAAGGAGAUGAAGAAGAAUGAGAAUAAUAAGGAAGAGAAGAAGAAGAAGAAGAAAAAGAAAAAGAAGAAAAAGAUGUAGAAACCAAUAAAUGGUUCUGUAAGGAUAUGUAUGUAUUAACUUUUAAUAUAUCCAGUUUACUGAUGUUCCAAUAUCAAUCACAGCUGUUGUUGGCUGGUUAGUCAGCCCAUAUGUUUGUGCUGAUUGGCCAGGUGGCCACUACUAAUGGAAAUAUAUGAGGAUUACAUUUCCUUCUGCAUCCAUAAACUUGUGUCUGUCUCUCCACUCAGAGAAUCACAGAAUAGUUGAGGUUGGAAGGUCUCUUGAGGUCACCUGGUCCAAACACCCAGCUUGAAUGGGAAUGCCUAGAGCCAAUUGCCCAGGACUUUGGCAAGUGGCUUUUAAAUUCCUCCAAGGAUGAAUUCUACAGUAUCUGGGCAAUCAGUACCAAACUUCUCAACCUCUCCUUGUGUGAUGGAUACUCCAGUCCCUUCAACAUCUUCCUGGCUUUUCACUGCACUUUCUAUGGUUUCUCCAUGCCACGUCUGUCUUGUGCUGGUGAGCCCAGAACUGGAAUGUCCAAAACUACUGCAAAACACUGCUGAAGCCCGGGAUUGAACCAGGGACCUUUAGAUCUUCAGUCUAACGCUCUCCCAGCUGAGCUACUUCAGCCUUGCCCUAGCAUGAU